rnacentral:rRNA from 1 species
GACGAACGCUGGCGGCGUGCCUAAUACAUGCAAGUAGAACGCUGAAGGAGGAGCUUGCUUCUCUGGAUGAGUUGCGAACGGGUGAGUAACGCGUAGGUAACCUGCCUGGUAGCGGGGGAUAACUAUUGGAAACGAUAGCUAGUACCGCAUAAUAGUAGAUGUUGCAUGACAUUUGCUUAAAAGGUGCAAUUGCAUCACUACCAGAUGGACCUGCGUUGUAUUAGCUAGUUGGUGGGGUAACGGCUCACCAAGGCGACGAUACAUAGCCGACCUGAGAGGGUGAUCGGCCACACUGGGACUGAGACACGGCCCAGACUCCUACGGGAGGCAGCAGUAGGGAAUCUUCGGCAAUGGACGGAAGUCUGACCAAGCAACGCCGCGUGAGUGAAGAAGGUUUUCGGAUCGUAAAGCUCUGUUGUAAGAGAAGAACGAGUGUGAGAGUGGAAAGUUCACACUGUGACGGUAUCUUACCAGAAAGGGACGGCUAACUACGUG